UGGGGAAUAUUGCACAAUGGGGGAAACCCUGAUGCAGCGACGCCGCGUGGAGGAAGAAGGUCUUCGGAUUGUAAACUCCUGUCCCAGGGGACGAUAAUGACGGUACCCUGGGAGGAAGCACCGGCUAACUACGUGCCAGCAGCCGCGGUAAAACGUAGGGUGCAAGCGUUGUCCGGAAUUACUGGGUGUAAAGGGAGCGCAGGCGGAUUGGCAAGUUGGGAGUGAAAUCUAUGGGCUCAACCCAUAAAUUGCUUUCAAAACUGUCAGUCUUGAGUGGUGUAGAGGUAGGCGGAAUUCCCGGUGUAGCGGUGGAAUGCGUAGAUAUCGGGAGGAACACCAGUGGCGAAGGCGGCCUACUGGGCACUAACUGACGCUGAGGCUCGAAAGCAUGGGUAGCAAACAGGAUUAGAUACCCUGGUAGU
rnacentral:rRNA from 1 species